rnacentral:rRNA from 1 species
UUCGAACCGCUGACUUUCAGGUUCGCAGCCCGAUUCGUAACCACUAGGCUACCAGAGCUCAGUUAGGGUUCCUUUUAUCAUGAGCUUCUCUCUUACUUGGAUAAUUGUGUUAAUUCUAGAGCUAAUACACUAAUACAUGUUCCUGGGGGCUAGCCACCCUUGGGGGGGGGGGGUAGAGGGCAGAAGGGUGCUUGCAUUUAUCAGAUCAAAAGCAACCACAACCAGGUGAUUUCCCCUCCACCGGGCAAAGGGGAUAGAUGCAGAUGUUGGCAACUAGAUAACCUUGCCUGAUCAAACCCCACUACACUCCCCUACAAAGGAAACCCAUUCUAGCAACAUCUGCCCUAUCAACUUUUGAUAGCAGUCACCAUAUCUACCAUUGUGACCAUGGGUGAUGAGAAAUCAGGGUUCAAUUCCAGAGAGGGCACCUGAGAAAUGACUACCACAUCCAAGGAAGGCAGCAGGCAUGCAAAUUACCCACUCAUGACUUGGGAGGUAGCGGAAAGUAAUAAUACAGGAUUCUUUUGAGACCAUGUAAUUGGAAUGAGUCUACUUUAACAGGAUCCAUUGGAGGGCAAGUCUGGUGCUAGCAACCGCGGUAUGUGGUUGUUGUUAAGUGCCAUCGAGUCGAUUCUGACCCAUAGUGAAUCUGUAUAGGGUUUCUAAGGAGCAGUUGGUGAGCUUGAAACACUGACCUUGCAAUUCAAACAACUUUGCAGUCUGACGCAUUAACCCACAGCAACACCACACCAGGACUCCAUGGUAUAGCGUACAUAAAAGUUGCUGCAGUUUAAAAACCCAUCCAGCCCUUUACCUCUCUGCCUCUCCAUAGUGUUCUUAACUCAAUCUGGCUGGGCAAGCAAUUACUUUGAAAAAAUUAGUGUGUUCAAAGCAGGCCCGAGCCGCCUGGAUACCGCAGCUAGGAAUAAUGGAAUAGGACCGCGGUUCUAUUUUGUUGGUUUUCAGAACUGAAGAUAAGAUUAAGAGGAGCUGCUAGAACAUUUAUAUUGUGCCACUAGAGGUGAAAUUCUUGGGCCAGUGCAAGAUGGACCAGCGUGAAAGCAUUUGCCAAGAAUGUUUUCAUUAAUCAAGGACCAAAGUCGGAGGUUCACAGACAGAUACCUUCAUAGUUCCGACCAUAAAAGAUGCUGACUGGCGAUAGGGCAGUGUUAGUUCCAUGACCCACAGGGCAGCUCUGGAAAACCAAAAUCUUUGGGUUCCUGGGAGGAGUGCGUUUGCAAAGCUGAAACUUAAAGGAAUUGACUGAAGGGCACCACCAGGAGUGGAGCCUAUAGCUUAAUUUUGACUCAACACUGGAAACCUCAUCCGUCCCUGACACCAAUAGGAUUGAUUGAUAACUCUUUCUCCAUUCCGUGGAUGGUGGUGCAUGGCUCCCUUAGUUGUUGGAGGGAUUUGUCUGGUUAAUUCUGGUAAAGAACAAACUCUGGCAUGUUACCUAGUUACAAGACCCCCUAGUGGUCGGUGUCCCCUAACUUCUUAGAGGGACAAGUGGUGUUCAGCCACUUAAGAUUAGCAAUAACAGGUCCAUGAUGCCAUUAAAUGUGCAAGACAGCACACACACUACAUUGACUUGCUCAGAGUGUGCCUACCCUACCGGUUAAUCCCCAUUCUGAUGGGGAUCAGGGAUUACAAUUAUUUCCCCGUGAACAAGGAACUCCCAGUUAAGUGCGGGUCAUAAGCUUGCUUUGAUUAAGUCCCUGGCCUAUGCACACAGCCCAUAGCUACAAACUGAUUGGAAAGUUUAGUGAGGCCCUGGGAUCUGCCUGCUGGUGGUCCCACAGUCCUGGCAAGUGCUGAGAUGACAGUUGUUGUUAAAUGCCAUGGAGUCAAUUCUGACCCAUAGCAAACUUGUAUAGGGUUUACCCAGAAG